rnacentral:lncRNA from 1 species
GAUAAGUCUCUAGAUGUUACAGAGAACCUCGAACAACCCAAUCUGCUAAUCUUCGAUACCGCUUUAUAUUCACGACCUUGUAUCCAUUGACUAUCUUGUUAGAUUAACCCAAAAACUUUUAUUCACUCUGCAUACUCAAUCCUAUAGACACCCUUUUAAUUCUUCAACCACAGACAUAACUUCGAUUUCACAAAACAGUCAAGAGUAUUCACACCCACUUCAUUAAAAUCCCGAUUCACCAGUACAACACUGACUUCAGCAACGAUUGUCUCAGUCUUCUCAAAACCCUAUGAAGAAAAAAAAAAUCCCAAUUUUCUGUCUUUU